CUUACUGCCUACUUCAUUGGCAACAUGACUAACCUUAUUGUUCAUCAUGCUGUUCGAACAUUUGCCAUGGUGGACCGAUCAUUUUCCUGCAUUAAUUUUCUCGAUUUUUUUCAAGAUCAUUCAUAGUUCCAUAAACCAAAUUACUUGUGAAUGUAUGCAGAGGGAUGCCAUCAAUCAGAUUUUGAGAUAUGCGAGCAAGAAUAGACUUCCAGAAGGACUAAAAGAGCAAAUGCUAGCACAUUUGACACUGAAAUUCAAGACAACAGAACUACAGCAAGAACAAGUUUUAGAAGACUUGCCAAAGGCUAUAAGAUCUAGCAUUUCACAGCAGCUCUUUCGUACAACCUUACAAAAUACCUACCUUUUCAAAGGAGUCCCCGAAGAUUUUAUAGUCCAGUUGGUAAUUUUUUCAUCCCUAGUGCAGCUAAUUUAUUUAAUCUGUUAUUAACAGGGAAGAGGGCUUGUUUUGUAAUCAUCAAAACUACAACAAGCCACCCCCUUUUGUUUUUCUUUAAUAAGCAAUCUACCUUCAAGCUCAAAUCAAUAUUCUUCAAUAAGCUAGCUACCUUCCAGAGAUCAUGUUGUUCUUGUUUUAAACUGUGCGCUUUAGCAAUCCACAGAUCUAAGCUAUAUAUGUCGUUUCACUUUUAAUACUACAGGUCUCAGAGAUAAAGGCAGAGUAUUUUCCACCAAACGUGGAUAUCAUUAUUCAAAAUGAGAUACCAACAGAUUUCUACAUUAUUGUAUCUGGUGCCAUGGUAUGUGCCAUUUCACUCAACUACUCAAGUUUUAAUUAGCUCUCUUGGUAUUCCCAGACAGUUACCAAUUUACUGAUUAACUGACCGCUGCAGGAUGUUGUAACAUACAAGAACGGAACGGAACAGGUCCGAACGUAUUUCACUUUUCUCUUAUGAAGAUAUUAACAGUAUAGAGCUACAAUGAUUCGACAUAAAAUUCUCUAUGCAAACAACUUUUAAUUGGGAUAUAUAUGACUAUUAAUUCUUCUGAUAAAAAGUUCAAAUGUUGCUGCUGACAGUUUCUUUCGAAGUUGGGGUCUCAAGAAAUGUUUGGGGAAAUAGGUGUGAUGUUUAAUAUCCCUCAACCUUUCACAGUGAGAAGUAAGAGGCUUUCUCAAGUUGUCCGUAUUAGUCAUCAUCAUUUCAAGCAACUGGUCCAGCCCCUUAAAGAAGACGGACAGAUAAUUCUCUCCAAUUUUCUUCAGGUGCAUGCUCUGGUACCUUCUAUUUAGUUGCUACUAAUAUUCUUGAAUAUCAUAAUAUUCCCAGUAAAAAGUGAGUUAUCCAUUUUCCCUGUACCUCACUCUAUCCUUGUUAGACUAUCAGACAUCAGAAAAUACUACAUUCCCAUUAGAUCAACAUUCAGCUCUUCCCUGGGUUAUAUCUCUGUUUUAUACUUAAUUAUGUCACCCUUAUUGCUGAUCUUAAUUUGUGGCACUAUAUUAUCAGCAUCUGAAGGGAUUGAAAAAGGAGGAGCUAGCAGAGAUGCCGGUCAUAUCAGAAUUUCUAGAUGACUUAAACAGUGAGGUAAUUUUUUGUCAUUAACUUGCAAAACCUAAUGCAUUAAAUUGAAUACGAACUUAAGUCUGACUUGUUUUUCAUUACUGUUGAACAUUACCGACAAAUUUAAUACACCUGCUUUCUUUUGCAAACUUACCGGAGUUAUGGACCUAAUAAUGAUGAGCAUGGAAAAAUAUUUACAAGAAACUAUCUCAUGCUAAGUAGCAAACUCAAACAAUAUCCCCAACUUCCCCAAGAAAUUGGAAAGAACAAAAAAAAAGGUACAAUUGGUAAGUUUCUAAGCACUCUUAGACAUUUUCCAUUGACAGAAACAAAACGUACUCCAAAUGACAACUGCAAUGAUCUCUUAGUUGACAUGCAGAAUGAGCAAAAUUUAAAAGUGCAACAAAUGCAGAAGUAAGAAGCAGAGUCCGACAAAUGGAAACUUCCAACCUUUUCACUAAGAAUAAAUUUUAUGUUGUUUCAUUGAUCUCUUGCAGGAAGCCACAGUGAUUGAGGCUGGAACAGAAGAUCAUGCCGGACAAGUUCAACAAGAAAACAGUAAGCUUUCCCUUCACUUUGAAUCAACGCUGAUGAUAGAAAAGUAUGCAGUUCAUAUCAAAAUUUACCAAAGAUAAAAUAUAUAUCAUAUAACCUAUUUCUUUGAUAAGGAAACUCAGCCCAAUAAGAGACCGUACGAAUGUAGCUCAUUCUCAGAGAGUUUAGUCGAACCCAUUUUGUCUCAGGCCUUCUAUACUCAUGUGAAAAUAAUAAAAUGUGGAAACAGAAGGAGUUAUUUUAUGCUAGCUGCAUCUUUAUCAUGAAACAGCAGCUAGGUUUGGAGCUCAAGUGCUCUUAUACUAUCCUUUGUACUUCUGGAGAUACAAGACAUAGAGAGGUGGAAUGUGCAUACCAGUUCUAUCUGGUUAAGAUACUAUUAUCAGUUCUGCAGAACUUGAUGUAAUCUUGAUACUUAUAACCAUUUAACUGAAAGCCAAGUUAUGUUCUUUUAUCUUGUUGUUGACUUAAGGUUAAUGUGAACAUUAGGAGAACUCUGAACCCACUGACUCAAAAUUCUGGAUCAUAGAGAAUAAUCAGAAGUGAUGGACAUAAAUGAGAAAAGGGCUGGUUCUGAACAGGCUAAAUCAUCAAUAGAUAAAUUAUAUGUUGAUUAGUAUCUGCUAUACCCUUUCUCAAUGUUCCUUUCUUUCUGUUCCAUUUCAACCAUGAAUGGGUGUGACUACUACUUUUAACUUUAUUUUUCUGUAUCCAUGCAUAUGACAAAAAUUUGCUUCAGAUGUUCCUAUGGUAUUCUCAUUGAUUCAAUUAACUUGACGGAUUCUAAGCCCUCAUUUUGGAUGCAGUAAUACCCACAGCUCCUGCCCUGUCAAAGACGCUUCCUACAAGGGUGAUAAUUCAUGGAUAUCAUCCGGAUGGUACAUCAAAUGAAAGAGGAAAACUAAUCCAUCUACCUGAUUCAGUUGAACAUCUUCUAAGUAUAGCAGGUGAGCAAAUUUUGAAAGAUCGUAAAUCUUCUCGUACUUUUUGAAUUCAGCAAGUCCCUUCAACAAUUUUAUUUCUACUCAUCCGCUCAUAUGAGAUUUACGAUCCUUUUGAAUCAACAAAAGAUUACCAGAAAGGAAUUAUGACGAUAUUCAGAAUCCUGUCUAACUAUAUUAUUUGGUGGAUGCAGAAAGAAAGUUUGGGAAAAGAGGAACCACUAUUGUCAUGGCAGAUGGUUCACAAAUGGAGGAUUUGGCUGCUCUGCGAGAGAGUGAUCGCUUGUAUAUCUUUUGAGAAUGAACUCUUAUACUAUAUAGAGGAAACAAUGAAACAAAUGUACAGAAGAUAAUGUGUUGAUAAGCCAAAUCACUAGAUGCAUAAAAGUUGAAGCUGGCAGAAAAUAUCUUAAGCAACUCUCUGGAAAUAUCUUAAGCAACUUCUGUAUCUCAACAGCAUAUAUUGUAUUUGCACUUUUCUGUUUCUUAUUUAAUUCAGUAGAGCUCUUGUCAAUUUUGAUCUGUGUGUGAGAGAGAGAUUCCUCAUGACAUCAUAAAUUCAAAAAGUAUAGCCAUACUUCCCAUCUAAUCAUGGGACGCUCACAUAUAUCAACACCGCAGAAUACAAACUGUUAGUUUUCAGAUAAAACAAGAAUGAAUGUGAAUAUGCAGAAAAGUAAAGAGAUAGAAACCUUUAUUCUGGUUUGGAUCAUGUGCCUAGUUCAGUCCCCUUCGUUUACAUAUAUUGUGAGCACUUUGAUGAUAUUUUUUCUAGUACAACUGGGAUGAUUUUUCCGUGUUCAUCACAAACAUAACUAGGUUGGUUUUCACUUUAUCACCAAUAAUGAAUGUCACAAGUUGGUUUUCGCUCUGAUCACCAACAAUGAACAUUCCUUUUGGUUUUUGAUUCGAUCAUCAAAGGUACGUACCCAUAUAACUCUCUCUUUUCUCACUAAUUUACUUCACUACACUGAGAUACUGUUAUAAUGCUUUCUGGAAGUACGGGAAAGCAAUUUAGAGUACGAUGGCUUUCUUCUUAUACCUUUUGUCUGAAUCUUUCCCAAGUAAAAUUAUGACCAUUGGUUAGUCUCAUUAAAGCUGCAGUUUUUUAGCAAGACAUACAAAAUAAAAAUUUCUGCAUCUCAUUAAAAAGUGAACACAAAUUAAAACUCAACCUACAUGUAAGAUUGAAAAGGUGAGGAUUUCUCAAUUUCAUAUCAUCGUCAGCUUCAAACGUUGCUUCUUCACUGGAGUGAUUAUGCCGUAGUACUAAUUUAACCGAAGCUAUCUCCUUGGAAUGAUGUUUCCUUACUUGUUGGUGUACUAUAGUCAUUACUGUCUACCUUCCGCACAGGAUUUCGAACUGCAUUGGCUUGCUUUUAAUCUUGAAUAAGUAAAUUGGACCUUGUUCACUGUGUCCCAUACUAGGUUUGAUCCCAAAAGCUUGUCAUUACCGGGCUCGACCACCCUGACGAAUAUAAUAUUCAUGUAUUUUCCUAAUUCAAAAAAUAAGAUUUUAAUAAACUUUCAAGAAUAUUACUUUCAAUUCUCACAUAUUUUUAACAUUUCUUGCAAGAAAGGAAAAUUCAAUGGAGUUCGAACUUUUUAACAAAGAGAAAAAAGUAUGUGCAUAAGAUGUCAUUUUAUCGUAAUCACCAAAUAGCAAUACAUGCUGCACUUGAGCAGAUUUUAAAGGCUGUAACACUACAAAAUCAUGUAAAAGUACCUAAAAUUCAAUGACCUAAAAAGAUAAGACGAUUCCAAAGUUUUCAUUGCAAUUGGAGAAAAGACUGAAUAAGUUUCAAGCAUAAGCUAAUGGAGAGAGAUAGAGAGAGUACCAUUGACGGAGAUAUUAGGGUUACUGUUCUCAUCGUCAAUUUCAAUGGCGGAAGUUUCCUUCUGCUUUGCCAUUGUUGAGAAAUUAGCUUACAACGGAGCAACCUUAAAGUUUUGACGAGACCCUGUCGGAGUAAUGUCAGCGUUUUUUCAAUUUGGUUUAAUUUUUAGAUCAAAUUAAUCCAAUUUUCACUUUUUGGACAUG
rnacentral:lncRNA from 1 species